AGUUGUCAUUGUUCAUGCAUGUGCAUUCCAGUCCAGUCUCCUUGGCUGCCCAGUUACAUCAAUAUCAUGCAAGCAUUUCUCAUUACAUUAACAAUGAUUGGACUUUUUCCUGACAGACCUCAUAUGCUACCUUUAGGUG